ACUCAGAGAGUGGUGAGGCACUGGCACAGGCUGUCCAGGGAAGUUGCGGAUGCCCCAUUCCUGGAGGUGCUCAACGCCAGGUUGGACAGAGCCUAGGGCAGCCUAGUGUAGUGGGUGGCAAUCCCCCCCACAGCAGGAGGGUUUGAAAUUAGAUGAUCUUUAAGAUCCCUUCUAACAUAAGCCAUUCUAUAAUUCCAUGACAAAUGACAUUUUCUUGCAGAGAACUAUCAUCUGUUCUGUACUGCACACUAAUCUCUCUUGUAGCCUAAGAAAUGUAGGUAAAAAUGAUACAGCAGCUCUGUCAACUAUCAGUCAAUGAUGUCAUUAUUAGUAUUUGAUUGAGAAAGAGACAAAAUAAACUGAUUUUGUGUCAUGUCAGCAAUAAGAAUUCUUAAAUUAAGCCUCUAUAAUUAGUGAUUUAGAUCAUUAGUGUGAGUUGUUGAAGUCAAUCUCCCCAUUCUCAUUUGAACUUUAAAAAAAAUAUAUGUUGUGGGGAGGAGAGUAAUGUUGACAGAGUAGAAUGCUGAUAAUGUUUUAAGUAGCUAUAACUAGAAUUAUAUGAAUAUUAAAAAAAAAAACACAAAAUUUUAAUUAUCUCUGUCAUUUCUGAGUCCAACUGAGAUGCCAUAAAAUUUCAUCAUAAAUAAGCGACAAAGAAAACAAAACCUUGAAAAAGACUAUACAAAUAAUAAUAUAUUUCGUAAUUAAUAGAAGCAGUUGACAGUUGACUAUAAUGAAAAAGUUCUGACAUAGAAUGGCAGCUAAAAUAUAGACAAAAAGAAGCCUACUUGCUCAAAAAUUUAACUUGAGAAUCAGAGACCUUGAAGAGUGACUUAAUACCUCAUAUGAGAGGCAUCCUAAAGAUACCAUUUUAUUGAUUAGAUCCAGAUGAGAAAUGGAAGAACAAUUUAUUACCUGAGAAAGUGGGGAUGAACUUGAGGAAUUAACUCCUGUUGAAACAAAUAAUUUCUAUUGACUGCCUCAGGAAGAAGACCAGAAGAAACAGCACCUUUUGUUUAUCUAAGCAGUGGUGCCCUCAAUGAUAUAAAAAAAGGCCUGAUUUUUACCCAAAAUAGAACUUCUCUUUCUAAGAAUAAAGAAUAAGAUAAAAAAUGCAGCUGGAGUUAACAAAAACAACUUACAAAACAAAAUACUUGUUGUAAAUGAAAAGACCAGCAUUAUGACCAGAAGCUACUAAGCUACUAUACCACUUAUAACAAUUUUGUUUUAAUAUAUUCUGAUCAGAUAUGUCAUUGUGUCAACACUUCAGGCCUCACACUGGGCACAAGGACUGUUGUGGUUUAAUCUGGAAAGCAGCUAAACACCACACAGCCCUUCACUCAUUCUCCCUCAUCUCCCAGUGGAACGAGGGAGAGAAUCAGGGAAAAAGAAACAAAAAACAAAACAAACAAACAAACAAAAUAAACAAACAAAAAAACCCUCAUAGGUUGAGAUAAAAACUAUUUGCUGAGACAGAAAAGAAAGAAAGCAAUAACAGCAAUGCCGAAUAUUAUGUAUAUAUAUAUACACACACAAAGUAAUUGAUGCACAAAGUGGUUCUCACCACCCGCUAACCAAUGCCCAGCCAAUGGAUCAACUUUGAAGUGAGUUACUGUCUGUUUCUCACCCUGCUGGGCCGAUUCCUGGUGGUGGUCAGUCUUUUUGUUUGAUAAUUGUUUGGGUCUUGAGCCAUUAGGUGGUCAGUUUUCUUCUCAUAAUUGUUUUACUCUUGAGUCCUCAGUAGCCAGUUUUCUUUUAGAUAAAUGUUUUAUUUUUGAGUUAUUUGGAGGUUGAUUUUCUUUUGGUGAUAGUUUUACUGGUACCUUCCACUCCUUCUUCCAUCCUGAGAUCUGUUCUUUUUCUGUACUGGUAAUUCUAUAAAUACAUAUGUCUAUAAUAUGUCAUGAGUCUAGUCUCGAUAAGUUUGUAAUCAUAAAAAUGUUCACUCUAAUAGCAGUCUUGCUAGUGGUGACUUAAUAAAUAGGAAUCUUUAAAGAAAAAAAGCCUCUGUGUUCCUGUGUAUCAUUAAAUACUACAAACUCACUGUUACAGUGACUAAAAACCUGCAGACUGGUUAGCUUCCCUUCCCUUUUGGGACUGAAACGUUAAUAUAUAU
rnacentral:lncRNA from 1 species